GACGAACGCUGGCGGCGUGCUUAACACAUGCAAGUCGAGCGGUAAGGCCCUUUCGGGGGUACACGAGCGGCGAACGGGUGAGUAACACGUGGGUGACCUGCCUUUAGCUCUGGGAUAAGCCUGGGAAACUGGGUCUAAUACCGGAUACGACUCCGCGGUGCAUGCUGUGGGGUGGAAAGCCUUGUGCGGCUGGAGAUGGGCCCGCGGCCUAUCAGCUUGUUGGUGGGGUGAUGGCCACCAAGGCGACGACGGGUAGCCGGCCUGAGAGGGCGACCGGCCACACUGGGACUGAGACACGGCCCAGACUCCUACGGGAGGCAGCA
rnacentral:rRNA from 1 species